rnacentral:tRNA from 1 species
GAGUUGGUAGUUCAAUGGUAGAAUGCUGUUUAAACUCACACGCAUUCUGGGUUCGAUUCCUGGUCGACUUA